AUGAACGCUAGCUACAGGCUUAACACAUGCAAGUCGAGGGGCAUCAGGAAGAAAGCUUGCUUUCUUUGCUGGCGACCGGCGCACGGGUGAGUAACACGUAUCCAACCUGCCCUUUACUCGGGGAUAGCCUUUCGAAAGAAAGAUUAAUACCCGAUGGCAUAAUGAUUCCGCAUGGUUUCAUUAUUAAGGGAUUCCGGUAAAGGAUGGGGAUGCGUUCCAUUAGGUUGUUGGUGAGGUAACGGCUCACCAAGCCUUCGAUGGAUAGGGGUUCUGAGAGGAAGGUCCCCCACAUUGGAACUGAGACACGGUCCAAACUCCUACGGGAGGCAGCAGUGAGGAAUAUUGGUCAAUGGGCGCUAGCCUGAACCAGCCAAGUAGCGUGAAGGAUGAAGGCUCUAUGGGUCGUAAACUUCUUUUAUAUAAGAAUAAAGUGCAGUAUGUAUACUGUUUUGUAUGUAUUAUAUGAAUAAGGAUCGGCUAACUCCGUGCCAGCAGCCGCGGUAAUACGGAGGAUCCGAGCGUUAUCCGGAUUUAUUGGGUUUAAAGGGAGCGUAGGUGGACUGGUAAGUCAGUUGUGAAAGUUUGCGGCUCAACCGUAAAAUUGCAGUUGAUACUGUCAGUCUUGAGUACAGUAGAGGUGGGCGGAAUUCGUGGUGUAGCGGUGAAAUGCUUAGAUAUCACGAAGAACUCCGAUUGCGAAGGCAGCUCACUGGACUGCAACUGACACUGAUGCUCGAAAGUGUGGGUAUCAAACAGGAUUAGAUACCCUGGUAGUCCACACAGUAAACGAUGAAUACUCGCUGUUUGCGAUAUACAGUAAGCGGCCAAGCGAAAGCAUUAAGUAUUCCACCUGGGGAGUACGCCGGCAACGGUGAAACUCAAAGGAAUUGACGGGGGCCCGCACAAGCGGAGGAACAUGUGGUUUAAUUCGAUGAUACGCGAGGAACCUUACCCGGGCUUAAAUUGCAGUGGAAUGAUGUGGAAACAUGUCAGUGAGCAAUCACCGCUGUGAAGGUGCUGCAUGGUUGUCGUCAGCUCGUGCCGUGAGGUGUCGGCUUAAGUGCCAUAACGAGCGCAACCCUUAUCUUUAGUUACUAACAGGUCAUGCUGAGGACUCUGGAGAGACUGCCGUCGUAAGAUGUGAGGAAGGUGGGGAUGACGUCAAAUCAGCACGGCCCUUACGUCCGGGGCUACACACGUGUUACAAUGGGGGGUACAGAAGGCAGCUAGCGGGUGACCGUAUGCUAAUCCCAAAAUCCUCUCUCAGUUCGGAUCGAAGUCUGCAACCCGACUUCGUGAAGCUGGAUUCGCUAGUAAUCGCGCAUCAGCCACGGCGCGGUGAAUACGUUCCCGGGCCUUGUACACACCGCCCGUCAAGCCAUGGGAGCCGGGGGUACCUGAAGUACGUAACCGCAAGGAUCGUCCUAGGGUAAAACUGGUGACUGGGGCU
rnacentral:rRNA from 1 species